AACGCACAUUGCGCCCGCCAGCACUCUGGCGGGCAUGCCUGUCCGAGCGUCAUUUCGACCAUCAGGGCCCCCCGGGGACCUGGCGUUGGGGACCGGCGACCGCCCAGCAGCGGGCGCCGCCCCCUAAAACCAUCGGCAGCCCGUCGCGGGCGGCCCUGCGCAGUAGCGAUACCUCGCAGCGGCCCCGGCGGCGCGGCCUCGCCGUAAAACCCCCGACCUCACACCAGGUUGACCUCGGAUCAGGUAGGAAUACCCGCUGAACUUAA
rnacentral:misc_RNA from 1 species